rnacentral:lncRNA from 1 species
AGUGCAUCUCCUUACAAAUAUUGCUUGAAUUUCCCAAGCAAGGAAGUGCGUCUCCAAUGUUGCUUGAAUUACCAAAACAAGAAAGUGCGUCUCCUUAUGAUAGCGCUUGAAUUACCAAAAUAAGAAAGUGUGUCUCCUUACAAAUGUUGCUUGAAUUUUCCAAACAAGGAAGUGCAUCCCCUUACAAAUGUUGCUGGAAUUACCCA